AACGUAGGACGCAAGCGUUAUCCGGAAUUACUGGGCGUAAAGCGCGCGCAGGCGGAUUAUUAAGUCAGUUGUGAAAGCCCUUGGCUAAACUGGGGGAGGACAAAUGAAACUGGUAAUCUGGAGUAAGGCAGAGGCGAGUGGAAUUCCGCGUGUAGUGGUGAAAUGCGUAGAUAUGCGGAGGAACACCAGAGGCGAAGGCGGCUCGCUGGGCCUUAACUGACGCUGAGGCGCGAAAGCAUGGGUAGCGAAC
rnacentral:rRNA from 1 species